CAGCAGUUGUUCUUUCCUGCUUAUCAGUUUCUACACUCUUUACGGACUAAGCACAAUUGCCAUGCGAUAAUAAAACCGCAACCAAGUACAGUAGAUUGUACCUCUAGCUAGAUUGAUAUCAGAAUUGUUGACAUAAUUCGCGUAUCUUAUCGGCUGCUGCUCUUGGACCCCAAAGUUUUUUCUGAACUAUGGGAUUGGUCUGGUUUUUAUGAUCUGGUGCAGCAUGUUAACUGUCCCCAGAUAGAAACUGCAAAUCCAGUAUUUAAUGAUUUAUUGGACAUUAGGUGGUGUGUGAUACAGAUGUUGUCGGUUGUUAUGCGAACAAGUGAUAGAAUUAUUGCUAAUCUUGGCAUGGGGGCAGAGGA